CGCAGCCGCGGUAAUUCCAGCUCCAAUAGCGUAUAUUAAAGUUGUUGCAGUUAAAAGCUCGUAGUUGAAUUUCGGGAUCAGUAGGUUGGUCAUGCCUUUGGUAUGUACUGGUCUCACUGAUUCCUCCCUCUUGAAGAACUGUAAUGUCAUUAAUUUGGUGUUGCGGGGAAUCAGGACUGUUACUUUGAAAAAAUUAGAGUGUUUAAAGCAGGCUUACGCUUGAAUACAUUAGCAUGGAAUAAUGAAAUAGGACGUUUGAUCCUAUUUUGUUGGUUUCUAGGAUUGACGUAAUGAUUAAUAGGGAUAGUUGGGGGCAUUAGUAUUCAAUUGUCAGAGGUGAAAUUCUUGGAUUUAUUGAAGACUAACUACUGCGAAAGCAUUUUGCCAAGGAUGUUUUCAUUAAUCAAGAACGAAAGUUAGGGGAUCGAAGACGAUCAGAUACCGUCGUAGUCUUAACCAUAAACUAUGCCGACUAGGGAUCGGAUGAUGUUAAUUUUUUUAAUGACUCAUUCGGCACCUU
rnacentral:rRNA from 1 species